rnacentral:lncRNA from 1 species
AGAGUUAGAGAUUUAAGCAAUAGCUCCAAAGGCUAGUUGGAGAAAAAUAUUGAUGGCAUUGUUGUUGGAGGGGAGUUAAAUACUAAAUUCUUUUAGGUAGCUGUAGUGAAUAAGAGCAAGAGCUUCAUAGAGUCUAUGGAAGUGAAUCUGGCGGCUCCUUAAGGUCAAGGAGGAGGUAAAAGGAGCAGUUGGUAUUUACUAACAUUUGUUUAGCGAGGAGGUGAGUUGGAGACCUGAGCUGUGAGAGGUAGUGUUCAGUCAAAGAGGAGAAGAAAGGGGGAGUGGUUGAUGCGGGCAUUUAGGGAAGAGGAGGUGUGGGAUGUAUUAGGGAGUUGGACAAAGAGGGAGUGGUUCACGUUCUUCAAUAGCGAGGAGGUGAGUUGGAG